GGGGCUCUACAUUACAGCCUGGCAUCGAGCAGACGACCAAGGCCGCAAUCACCGCUCCCGCUGACGUCCCUGCAAAGCGAUGGGCUGUGUCCAGCAUCCUCGGGGCCAGAUCUCGCAGAGCAUCCACGGCCCCAGCCUGCUGGGUGCCCAUGUGGAGAUCAAGGGAUAACUUUCUGAAGUGGACUCUUGCUACAGUUUUCAGCUGUCACCUUGACUUCUGUGUGUAGGACAAGGCUACACAUGCUAGUUUGCAUGCAAAGGUCAGAGAGCAACUUGAAGGAGCUGGUUGGUCUGAUUCUUCCACCAUGUGGACUCCAGGGAUUGAACUCAUGAACCCGGACUUCACAGCAAUCACGUUUACCUGCUGGACCAUCUCCAUGGCUUUCAAAAAGCAAACAGUUGGAAGCUGGGUGUCCUGGAGUCCAGCUUUAAUCCAGCACUCGGGAGACAGAGGCAACAAGCUCUCUGUGAGUUUGGAGCCAGUUUGAAUAUGAUCAAGUUCCAGGCCAAUCGCGGCUAUAUAAUGAAACUCUGUCUUUAAAAGAAAAGUGUUUUUAAAAAUUUAAAA
rnacentral:lncRNA from 1 species